GUGGUCGGGCUGGACUGGACCGUUGACCCAAAAGCAGCACGGGAGCGCACAGGAGGGAAGGUCAGCCUGCAGGGAAACAUGGACCCUUGUGCUCUCUACGCUCCCAAGGAGCACAUUUCAAAGAUUGUGAAGAAGAUGCUGGAGGGUUUCGGGACGAGGGGCUACAUCGCCAACCUGGGCCACGGCCUCUACCCCGACAUGGACCCCGAGAACGUGGGUGCCUUUGUGGAAGCUGUGCACACACACUCUAAACAGAUAAACAAACGGAUGUAAAGGUGGAUGUGUAUGUGAUGAAGUGUGUAAGCCAAUACGGCAUUACUUCAUUAAAAACUGUUUCAGCUUUAUCUGUUGAAUAAUCCAUCCCGAGAGACUUUCAUGGAGGGGAAAUAAAAACAACGAUAACCUCAAAUGAAUAAAAUAAACGAGAUGUUGGUUUCCUAAAACAAGAUGUUCUGUUCUAUGUUGAUCUGACCAGGAGUGGAUUAUGUUUUUCUAUUUGAAAUGGCGGCAAUCCAUUUUGCAAGUGCAUGUACGUUACACAUGUCAGUUGUUUGGGAUUUGAACUCAUAUAUGAUUUAUUUAAACAUGUUCAAAACGGAUUUAUGUCCUAUAUGAAAGCUAUUUCUUUGAUAUAUUUUUUCCAUAAUGUCACUCAUACAAUUUGAGGCUACCCUUUAUAACCUUUUUAAAAGCUGUAAACAUCUUUAAUAAAAAACGGAGUUCUUCAUCAGUAA